AGAAAAAUCGGUGAUGGAGCUCACCUUUAAGCAUUGCAGGAUAUGCAAUUAAUGGCUCCUACUUGGCC
rnacentral:ncRNA from 1 species